GAUGAACGCUAGCGGCAGGCUUAACACAUGCAAGUCGAGGGGUAUAGUUCUUCGGAGCUAGAGACCGGCGCACGGGUGCGUAACGCGUAUGCAAUCUACCUUUUGCAGAGGGAUAGCCCAGAGAAAUUUGGAUUAAUACCUCAUGGUAUGUGAGAAUGGCAUCAUUUUCACAUUAAAGUCACAACGGCAAAAGAUGAGCAUGCGUCCCAUUAUCUAGUUGGUAAGGUAACGGCUUACCAAGGUAACGAUGGGUGGGUGUCCUGAGAGGGAGACCCCCCACCCAUGUCAUGGGACACUGACCAGUCGCUUACGGGAUGCAGCAGUGGGGAAUAUUGGACAAUGGGCGCAAGCCUGAUCCGGCAAUGCCGCGUGCAUGAUGACGGUCCUAUGGAUUGUAAACUGCUUUUGUACAGGAAGAAACACUGGUUCGUGAACCAGCUUGACGGUACUGUAAGAAUAAGGAUCGGCUAACUCCGUGCCAGCCGCCGCCGUAAAAC
rnacentral:rRNA from 1 species